rnacentral:tRNA from 1 species
CGGGGGUGGCCGAGCCAGGUCAAAGGCGUGGGACUGAGGCUCCCAUGGCGUAGGCCUGCGUGGGUUCAAAUCCCACCCCCCGCACCA